CUAUGCUGUGCUGCUUCUAUUAGUUUUUGCAAUUAUGGACAGUAUUGUGGUCUAUCACUCUCAAUUCUGAGAUUC